CCGAGUUUACAACUCCCAAACCCCUGUGAACAUACCACUUGUUGCCUCGGCGGAUCAGCCCGCUCCCGGUAAAACGGGACGGCCCGCCAGAGGACCCCUAAACUCUGUUUCUAUAUGUAACUUCUGAGGUAAAACCAUAAAUAAAUCA
rnacentral:misc_RNA from 1 species